AUGUAAUGCCUAUACUGUUAGUGCACUAUAUCCCAUUAUAAUUCCAAAGUUAAGAGUUCUUGGGAUAGAUUAGUACUGGGAUGGGUAACCUCCCGGAAAGUCCUAGUGUUUUACAUG
rnacentral:rRNA from 1 species